rnacentral:rRNA from 1 species
UUUGUUUUUAUUUUAGGGUAGAAUCUUAAUAGGAAGAAAUAGUAAUAGUGUAAGACAUAUUACUUAUUUUAUGGACCAGGAUUAGAUACCCUGUUACUUUUAUGUAAGUUUUUUUGGAUUAAUAAUGUUAAUGAAAUUUAACGGAUUUGGCGGCAAGAUAGCCCUUUAGAGGAACCUGCCCUGUAAACGAUGAACCACGAAUACUUUACUUUCUUUUGUAGAUCAGUUUGUAUAUCGCUGUUGUCAGUUGAAUUUUAGAAAAUAUUUUCGUUAAUGAAAAAAUCAUUGACUUCAAGUAAAGGUGCAGCUUAUAGGAAAGAUAGAGGUGGGUUACAUUUAGAAGAUUAAAAUGGAUUGGAAAAAGAAAUAUUUCAUGAAGGUGGAUUUAACAGUAAAAUUUAAUAAAGUUUGAUUGGAGCUCUAUCUUGUGUACACACCGCCCGUCGCUCUCUUUUUUAAA